rnacentral:snoRNA from 1 species
CACACAUGAUGCUAUCUAUAUUUGCUACUUCGGACGGGCCUUGCCGGCCCGAAUGAGACUUACCAAUAUCACCAAGAUCUCUGAUGUG